rnacentral:rRNA from 1 species
CCUACGGGUGGCAGCAGUGGGGAAUAUUGCGCAAUGGCCGCAAGGCUGACGCAGCGACGCCGCGUGGGGGAUGACGCAUUUCGGUGUGUAAACCCCUGUUGCUCGGGACGAAUCGCCUCUUUUGAGGGGCUUGACGGUACCGGGUGAGGAAGCACCGGCUAACUCCGUGCCAGCAGCCGCGGUAAUACGGAGGGUGCGAGCGUUGUCCGGAAUCACUGGGCGUAAAGGGCGCGUAGGCGGUCUGCUAAGCGUGCGGUGAAAGCCCGGGGCUCAACCCCGGGUCGGCCGUGCGAACUGGUGGACUGGAGCACUGUAGAGGCAGGUGGAAUUCCGGGUGUAGCGGUGGAAUGCGUAGAGAUCCGGAAGAACACCGGUGGCGAAGGCGGCCUGCUGGGCAGUAGCUGACGCUGAGGCGCGACAGCGUGGGGAGCAAACAGGAUUAGAUACCCUAGUAGUC